rnacentral:rRNA from 1 species
UACGGAGGGUGCAAGCGUUGUCCGGAAUCACUGGGCGUAAAGGGCGCGUAGGCGGGACGGCACGUCGGUCGCUGAAAGCCCCCGGCUCAACCGGGGAACGGGCGCCGAUACGACCGCCCUGGAGGAACGUAGGGGGACCUGGAACUUCCGGUGGAGCGGUGAAAUGCGUAGAUAUCGCCUGGAACGCCGAAGGUGAAAACAGUCUGCUGGGGGCGUACCGACGCUGAGACACGAAAGCCAGGGGAGCGAACGGG